GAGUCAGAGGCCCACAGAUCCAGAGGAGGUAACUAAUGAGUCACUCAGGUCAAUGUGUGACAACACCCUUCAUCUCCUCACUACCACUGUUGGACGACUAGCCGAUGUACUGUGGCCAAAGUUGCUGUUUUAUCUGACCCCUUCACAGUACAGCAAUGCCACUACUCCUCUUUGUAAAAGUCUCAUAGUGCUGGGCAGCAAGAAGAAAAAUAACCAAGAGCCCAGCUUCAAAAUCGACUUUACACGGGAAGUCAAUCUACCAUCUCCACAAACACUGAUGAUCAGGCUGCUGGU